CCAGAACCAGAACCAGAACCAUGGAAUCUCUUCAGAAGACAACACGGCUCUCCGCUCCGGUCCAGCUCGGCCUCGUGGGGAGGCAAACGUGCUGAUACGGGACAUGCACACGCAUCAAAUCCAGCGGCGUGAUUUGCUCUUCGCCAGCAUAUCGCCCUGGCACCAGCCUAACUAAGCCCCACCGUCGGCCUCCUUGGCUGAGCUAGACUGGCUGUGUGACCAAAUUUUUCCUCAGUCCCAUUCUCAAAUAUCUUAGUCCUGGUCCCAUAUAGUGUUUAUCAAAUCAGUUACUUUACAUGAUUUAUAUUAUAAUUCUAGUCUCAGAUCAUGUUUUAUUUUAUAAAUUAAUAGUUCUAGUUCCAUUUGGUUCAAAUGGAACCAUGAUUUAUUCUAUAUAGAUUGGCAGUGAUAGAUAGAUUGACUGCAAUAGAUAGAGGUAAUAUCUCCACCAAUCAUAUCAUC
rnacentral:sRNA from 1 species